rnacentral:lncRNA from 1 species
UUACAAUCAUGAUUAUUAUCUUUUCAAUCUUAUUCAACUCUUUAUUUUUCGUUCCUUAUAAUGCUUACAUUCUUCAAAAAGUAUUGAAGGUUACUAAAUUAAUCAAAAGAGUUUGAUCACAAAAUAAUAAAAAGUCAGAAGAAAUUUAUUUAUCGGGAAGUUAUAUCCAAAAAUGUCAUUCCCCUGUGGAUGCUCUGUCUUUGCCAAUAUAAAGUCUUCAAGCUUGCUCUUAUCUCACUGUGCAAAUUAUAUCCUGUCUCUCUCUCUCUCUCUCUAGGACUAGAGCUUCUCUCUCUAAACCCAGUGUUCUAUUUCUUUCUUAAGAGAAGCUCUCUUCCUGUUUUGUUUCCUUUUGUAUCCUUUUGCUCCAUUCACAAGCAGAUAGUAAAAUGAGUGUUAAGCAAGUAGCAACAUAAAAAGCAUUAGCAAUUAUAAAUCCCCAAUCUUCUUCGAGUUCAAGCUGUACAAUAUUUGAUAAUCAUGUUGUUAGAAAAUGGAGAUGGAAAGAAGAAAAUAAAAAAUAUAAGCACCAAAACAAUCAAAGACAGUAGAAAAUUUACAAUGAAAAACAGAAAUUCAUAGCACCAAUACAAUUUUUUUUUCUUUUUUUCUUCUUCAUAUUUUCAGCAUAAUACACUUACUGAUCCUCUCCUUUUUCUCUUUUCUCUUACUCUUAAAUCUGUCCUAGUAGCUAUAUUUAUACAAAAAAAAUACAACAGUAACUUUUAAUAACUCUUCACCUAAUGCCAUACUUCUUUUCCAUAAAACAAGGGCUUCCAUCCCUUUUCAACUAACAUAUGUUAGCAAAAUCUCAUUCUCCAACACAUGUAAGCCAAGGAAAGUUCGACCACUUUCUUAGCAAGAAAGAAAAACAACUGAGGUACAUGAGAUGCUUCUGUCUUUUUAACCAAGUAAGAAGGCUCGCCAAGAAAAUAUUCAUGUUAUUAACUUUCCUUUUAUACUCCACCAGGAAGAUCUAGACGAUAUUCGGAUUAAGUAUCAAAUCCCAUUAGAUUUUGGACUACUGUUGGCUGCCUGUAAUGUAAAGGUGAACGGCGAGCAAAGAUAGACUACUCUUAUUGUAUAUGAGGAGGACUUGAAGGCUAUAGUUAGAUUCCCUCUACAAUUGGAAGUGGCUGACUUCCGAAAUCAGUAUAACGGUGCUCUCAGCCAAGUCGCACUAAAUAGUGAUGUGUUUCAAGUGGGUCUUACCACCUCUCAGUUUAAUCUUCCGAAGGAGGUGGUCUAAGGUAAAGAGAACAUAUUUCUAGAAUUAAUUUCUAAACAGGCAUCCUAGUACAUGCUGAAAUUAAUUUGAUAUAGCUCCAGAAUUAAUUUCUAAACAUGCAUCCUAGAUAUGUAGAAAAUUAAUUUGAGAGGCAAGGGUUGGUGAAUUUACAUGGAAGAAGCGUGUGAACUAGAUGUGCAUCUUAGGCUCCUAGUGCAGCUCCUCUAGAUCCAUGCUCUCGUGCCUAAGGGAUGAAGCCUUGAUAAUGAUGCCAUGUGAGAGAGAGCUACUGAUUUAGAGAGAAGCUAGAGAGGGGGAGAGGUGUUUGCAAAAUGAGGAAAGUGAAAGAAAGAGAAAGAUGAAGCUUCCUUAUAUAGCAUCUUGGCU